rnacentral:rRNA from 1 species
UACAGAGGGUGCAAGCGUUGUUCGGAAUUAUUGGGCGUAAAGCGCGUGUAGGCGGCUUUGCAAGUCGGAUGUGAAAGCCCUCGGCUCAACCGAGGAAGUGCGUUCGAAACUGCAGAGCUUGAGUGCCGGAGAGGGUGGCGGAAUUCCCCAAGUAGAGGUGAAAUUCGUAGAUAUCUGGAGGAACACCGGUGGCGAAGGCGACGUCCUGGACCGGCAUUGACGCUGAGGCGCGAAAGCCAGGGGAGCAAACGGG